AAGCCCGCGAGGGACGGCCGGCCCCUAAAUCUAGUGGCGGACCCGUCGUGGCCUCCUCUGCGAAGUAGUGAUAUUCCGCAUCGGAGAGCGAUGAGCCCCUGCCGUUAAACCCCCAACUUUCCAAGGUUGACCUCAGAUCAGGUAGGAAU
rnacentral:rRNA from 1 species